UUUUGGGCUGUGCAUUGAAAUAUAUCCCCUUGCAUCGGGGCCUGACUGUUACCUGUUGUGCGGAAUCCAAUUGAGAAGUGCAAGACACGAGCCAUGCCACGCAAAAGCAAGAAGGUGCAAGCUCUCAAGGUAAGCUGGCAAAAGCGUAAAAACAACACAGACUCUGGAAGUGCAGAUAAACCAACAACUGCCAAAGAAUUGAUGGCCAUUGAACCUGAAAACUCUAUGGAGCUUUCCUGCAGGAGACAGACAAUGUGACCAGUGCUCACCUGGACCUUGUUCUCGAUCGAGGCAAUGAGCUCUAUGUGGCUACUGUGGCUGUGCUGAAAGCAGAAGGACGGUACGAACAUCAUCAUUUGGCAACCGAUGAAAUUCCAUCCAUUGUGAAUGGCUUUCACAAACGACAUGUGUUAAUAAAGUAUCAGUCAAUGUA